rnacentral:rRNA from 1 species
GAACGCUGGCGGCAGGCCUAACACAUGCAAGUCGAGCGGUAGCACAAGAGAGCUUGCUCUCUGGGUGACGAGCGGCGGACGGGUGAGUAAUGUCUGGGAAACUGCCUGAUGGAGGGGGAUAACUACUGGAAACGGUAGCUAAUACCGCAUGACGUCUUCGGACCAAAGUGGGGGACCUUCGGGCCUCACGCCAUCAGAUGUGCCCAGAUGGGAUUAGCUAGUAGGUGGGGUAAUGGCUCACCUAGGCGACGAUCUCUAGCUGGUCUGAGAGGAUGACCAGCCACACUGGAACUGAGACACGGUCCAGACUCCUACGGGAGGCAGCAGUGGGGAAUAUUGCACAAUGGGCGCAAGCCUGAUGCAGCCAUGCCGCGUGUGUGAAGAAGGCCUUCGGGUUGUAAAGCACUUUCAGCGGGGAGGAAGGCGUUAAGGUUAAUAACCUUGGCGAUUGACGUUACCCGCAGAAGAAGCACCGGCUAACUCCGUGCCAGCAGCCGCGGUAAUACGGAGGGUGCAAGCGUUAAUCGGAAUUACUGGGCGUAAAGCGCACGCAGGCGGUCUGUCAAGUCGGAUGUGAAAUCCCCGGGCUCAACCUGGGAACUGCAUUCGAAACUGGCAGGCUAGAGUCUUGUAGAGGGGGGUAGAAUUCCAGGUGUAGCGGUGAAAUGCGUAGAGAUCUGGAGGAAUACCGGUGGCGAAGGCGGCCCCCUGGACAAAGACUGACGCUCAGGUGCGAAAGCGUGGGGAGCAAACAGGAUUAGAUACCCUGGUAGUCCACGCCGUAAACGAUGUCGAUUUGGAGGUUGUGCCCUUGAGGCGUGGCUUCCGGAGCUAACGCGUUAAAUCGACCGCCUGGGGAGUACGGCCGCAAGGUUAAAACUCAAAUGAAUUGACGGGGGCCCGCACAAGCGGUGGAGCAUGUGGUUUAAUUCGAUGCAACGCGAAGAACCUUACCUGGUCUUGACAUCCACAGAACUUUCCAGAGAUGGAUUGGUGCCUUCGGGAACUGUGAGACAGGUGCUGCAUGGCUGUCGUCAGCUCGUGUUGUGAAAUGUUGGGUUAAGUCCCGCAACGAGCGCAACCCUUAUCCUUUGUUGCCAGCGGUUAGGCCGGGAACUCAAAGGAGACUGCCAGUGAUAAACUGGAGGAAGGUGGGGAUGACGUCAAGUCAUCAUGGCCCUUACGACCAGGGCUACACACGUGCUACAAUGGCAUAUACAAAGAGAAGCGACCUCGCGAGAGCAAGCGGACCUCAUAAAGUAUGUCGUAGUCCGGAUUGGAGUCUGCAACUCGACUCCAUGAAGUCGGAAUCGCUAGUAAUCGUAGAUCAGAAUGCUACGGUGAAUACGUUCCCGGGCCUUGUACACACCGCCCGUCACACCAUGGGAGUGGGUUGCAAAAGAAGUAGGUAGCUUAACCUUCGGGAGGGCGCUUACCACUUUGUGAUUCAUGACUGGGGUG